AUGCAAGAAAUUGAUCUUUUAAUGUUUAAACUGUAAAGUACUGCAGGAAAUAAAAUAAAGGACAAACUUACAUCAAAUGUCAUAAUGAGCCAAUCAACAAAUUUACUAGACAGAGAUAGCAUGUACAACAGGAUGCCAUAACCCAAUGUCAAAGAAACAAGAAUAGAAAUCAAUGCAUAAUUUGAUUACAUUCAGACAAGACAUAAUCUACUAGAUUGUGAGCAUACCAGUACUUUAAUUACAUUGUAAAUGCAAAGUGGAAGGCUAAAACAAAAUUAUUUUUAAAGAAAAACAAAAUAUAAAUUUCAAUAAAUAUCUAUUUCUAUUUAAAACAACAACUGUUAAUUUAACUCAGUAUUAGUUGGCAGCAUGUAAUGAGAUUUGGGGGGGGGGGGGGGGG